AUUGAACGCUGGCGGCAGGCCUAACACAUGCAAGUCGAACGAGUGGCGGACGGGUGAGUAAUGUCUGGGAAACUGCCUGAUGGAGGGGGAUAACUACUGGAAACGGUAGCUAAUACCGCAUACCAUCGGAUGUGCCCAGAUGGGAUUAGCUAGUAGGUGGGGUAAAGGCUCACCUAGGCCACGAUCCCUAGCUGGUCUGAGAGGAUGACAAGGAACACUGGAACUGAGACACGGUCCAGACUCCUACGGGAGGGAGCAGGGGGGAAUAUUGCAAAAUGGGCGCAAGCCUGAUGCAGCAAUGCCGCGUGUAUGAAGAAGGCCUUCGGGUUGUAAAGUACUUUCAGAGGGGAGGCGUUACCCGCAGAAGAAGCACCGGCUAACUCCGUGCCAGCAGCCGCGGUAAUUC
rnacentral:rRNA from 1 species